AGCGAACGCUGGCGGCAGGCCUAACACAUGCAAGUCGAACGAACCCUUCGGGGUUAGUGGCGGACGGGUGAGUAACACGUGGGAACGUGCCUUUAGGUUCGGAAUAACUCAGGGAAACUUGUGCUAAUACCGAAUGUGCCCUUCGGGGGAAAGAUUUAUCGCCUGUAGAGCGGCCCGCGUCUGAUUAGCUAGUUGGUGAGGUAAUGGCUCUCCAAGGCUACGAUCAGUAGCUGGUCUGAGAGGAUGACCAGCCACAUUGGGACUGAGACACGGCCCAAACUCCUACGGGAGGCAGCAGUGGGGAAUCUUGCGCAAUGGGCGAAAGCCUGACGCAGCCAUGCCGCGUGGAUGAUGAAGGUCUUAGGAUUGUAAAAUCCUUUCACCGGUGAAGAUAAUGACUGUAGCCGGAGAAGAAGCCCCGGCUAACUUCGUGCCAGCCGCCGCAGUAACAC
rnacentral:rRNA from 1 species